CCAUCCGAACUCCUGUGAAAGCUGGAUUCCAAGCUCCUCUUGGAUGGAUGGCUAACUACCUCUCUCUGCCAAACACUCCUGUCAGACUUCAGCCGGUAGACCUUCGCCCCUUGUCGCGCUGCAGUAACGGCCGUGAUUCUGCUCCAUUCCCUGCGGCAGAUUCCACGUGGCUCCAUCACUCUACGACCCUGCUCCACCUCCUGCGAUGGAUUCCAUGCGGCUCCAUCACUCCUUGGCAGGCCGUAAUAAUGG
rnacentral:lncRNA from 1 species